GGGCUUGACAUCCCACGAACCUGCCUGAAAGGGUGGGGUGCCCGCAAGGGAGCGUGGAGACAGGUGGUGCAUGGCUGUCGUCAGCUCGCGUCGUGAGAUGUUGGGUUAAGUCCCGCAACGAGCGCAACCCUCACCCCUAGUUGCCACCGGGUAAUGCCGAGCACUCGAGGGGAACUGCCAGCGUCAAGCUGGAGGAAGGCGGGGAUGACGUCAAGUCAUCAUGCCCCUUACGCCCUGGGCUACACACGUGCUACAAUGGCCGGUACAAAGGGACGCAAGACCGCGAGGUGGAGCUAAUCCCAAAAAGCUGGUCUAAGUUCAGAUUGCAGUCUGCAACUCGACUGCAUGAAGGAGGAAUCGCUAGUAAUCGCGCAUCAGCCCGGCGCGGUGAAUACGUUCCCGGGCCUUGUACACACCGCCCGUCACACCACGAAAGCUGUCUGUACUCGAAGUCGCUGAG
rnacentral:rRNA from 1 species